AGAGGACACAGCUCCAUCAUUGUGGGGAGAAGACAAGAAAGCUCAAGCAAGCCUGCAGCUGAAGUUGUCUGCUCCAUUUCAAUUUGAAAGAUUUGAAGUGGAAGAUGAAAUGGGUGGGCUACAAUACCAGAGUUACUCCUGAAGGCAUGAGCUGACUUCAGCAGAUACUUAUGCUAUUUAGAACUGCUCAGUUUUUUUUUAUCCCUGGUGGUGUACACUUAGGAAAAUUUAAACUGUUUGCAGUGUUUUGACAUAUCUUCAAAAUCUCCAACAGGAGCUACAUCUAACACUUGGUUAUAAUUAUAACCCAAUCUGAUCUAUCCAUAGGAUCUCUGUUCUUUGCCACCAAUGGCAAUAAUUCUGUCUCCACCACCAGUUUAGUAUCAUAAACUUCCAGCUUGUCUUUCCCUCUCAAAGUCUGUUCAAUUCAUUUUCAUGCACAUGAAAGCAGCAGGUUGCUGCUCCAAAGACACUGUGGCAUUUCUUUCUGCCCUACUUCAGGAAUUCAAUAAAUAAGGGAGACUCUUGAGUCCAUCACAGUCUCACUCCUUUGGCAAUUAUUGGUUUUGAAACUGCAGAUAACUUCAACAGUCACCAGUUUUUAAUUCAAACCAUUUUCUUUCAUUACUUUUUUUUUUUUUUUUUUUUUUUUCUCCAGUUUUUGCUGCUCUAAACCAUCUCAAUCUUGCUAUAAACACAUCUUUAAAAAUGCAUCAUGUUAGUUACUGUUGAGAAGGAAAAAUUCUUAGGGUUGGUACCAAAACCUAAUUUCUUCUCCGUUGACUAAGCUUUACUUAUCACCAGCUUGAAUUAUCUGCAGGUGUUGGGAGGCAGCCAAAUCUGCCCUGCCCAAAAAUCUGCCCUGCCCCAGAUCCUCAGCACCACCUAAAAGUGCUGCUGCAGGAGAAAGGUCUCCUUCUAAAAUCCAAUGCGUGAAUGGAGUGGUCUAAACUGUCUUUAAAGGUCUUGGGUGCUCGAGGAGCACAGCGGUGUGCAGUGAUGGGCAAAGCAGCAAACCUCUAUGGAAGAAUGAAAGAAGAUAUUCCCCCCAAAGAAGUUUCUGUAAAUAUCCAGUUAAAAGAAGAAAUCCACAGGAAUAAAAGUGAGGACAGUCAGGAGUAUCCAGGACAGAGGAAGUUGCUGACUGCUUCUUCAGGCAUUUUCAGAAAUAGGUCCUAUUUUUUCUCACCACUUCUGUACUACUGAACAAUGGAAAAAAAUCAAAGCAAAAGGCUGCUGGAUCACUGCUAGCUAAGUUGUUAGCUUGAAUGGUUGGUAGAAAAGUUACACUGAUGUAUUUUUAUUGUGUGAGCUUUUGGCUGUGAUUGUAGCAAACAAUACGAAGCAAAGGGGUAAAUAACCGGAGUACUGGAGUAUCCACAUCUGCCAGCAACAUAAUCACAUUGAAUCUAAUAAACUGAUGUGUUGCUGCCUGGGAAAACA
rnacentral:lncRNA from 1 species